rnacentral:rRNA from 1 species
CCUACGGGUGGCAGCAGUCGAGAAUCAUUCACAAUGGUGGAAACCCUGAUGGUGCGACGCCGCGUGGGGGAAUGAAGGUCUUCGGAUUGUAAACCCCUGUCAUGUGGGAGCAAAUUAAAAAGAUAGUCCCCCAAGAGGAAUAGCCGGCUAACUCUGAGCCAGCAGCCGCGGUACUACAGAGGUCUCAAGCGUUGUUCGGAAUCCCUUGGCGUAAGGUGUGCGUAGGCGGUUUCGUAAGUCGUGUGUGAAAGGCGCGGGCUAAACCCGCGGACGGCAGAUGAUACUGCGAGACUAGAGUAGGCGAGAGGGAAGCGGAAUGCGCGGUGUAGCAGUGAAAUGCGUAGAUAUCGAGAGGAACACUCGUGGCGAAGGCGGGUUCCUGGACAUUAACUGACGCUGAGGCACGAAGGCCAGGGUAGCGAAAGGGAUUAGAUACCCGGGUAGUC